UUCCUCCUUUUUGCAGCAGUCGGGAAUAUUGCGCAAUGGAGGAAACUCUGACGCAGUGGCGCCGCGUAUAGGAAGAAGGUUUUCGGAUUGUAAACUAUUGUCGUGAGGGAAGAAAUUGACAGUACCUCAGGAGGAAGCUCCGGCUAACUAUGUGCCAGCAGCCGCGGUAAUACAUAGGGAGCAAGCGUUAUCCGGAUUUAUUGGGUGUAAAGGGUGCGUAGACGGGAAAUUAAGUUAGUUGUGAAAUCCCUCGGCUUAACUG
rnacentral:rRNA from 1 species